rnacentral:lncRNA from 1 species
UGAAGUAGCUGAGGUGCCUUACCCUCGCAGAUUUAUCAUCAUGUGACACAAAAAAAGCACAGGCAAACCCAGAAAGCAUUAAUGGGUUGUUAACCUGUUGUAGAGCGAUAACUAUUGCUGUGCAGGGAUUUGCAAUAUGCUCUGUAAAGAGUCCAUGAGAAAUAGAAAUCAAGAUCUGUGGCCAACACAAGAGGUGGGGAGAAGCCAAAACAUACAAUGGCUUAACAGUUACAAACGCACCAGCCAGGCAGCCUUGGGGAUGAGAGGGAAGGGCGGAGCUGGGCAGGGACCCCAGGGCUGUUGGCCAUGUCUGCAAAUUACGGAGCAACUAACAGUGUGAGCACCC